rnacentral:miRNA from 1 species
UAAGCUCGUCUUUGUUUUCCUGC